UAUCUACUAUGACCCACAGAGAAUUUUAGAUUGGGAUUUAAUUAAUGAGAAAUUCCUUGUGUUGCUCAAAAUAGGUCACGAUGUGUUGUGGCUGUGGAGACUCAGAUAUGCGGUCCAUGUGAACACACACUUUAGAGACAAUGAAGGUGGAGACAAUUUCCCAGAAAAAAGCCCCAAAUCUGAAGACAGUAGCCGUCAGGUUUGCACAGUUCGGGUUCCCACGAUCCAAAGCAUUGUGCACAGAUGCUCAGCUGCUACUCUAGUCAAGACCAGUUAUUCCGAGGAGAAUAUUUGUGUAAAUAAAAGUUUUAUUAGAUAUCA